CAGUCGCCGCGGUAAAACGUAGGGUGCAAGCGUUAAUCGGAAUUACUGAGCGUAAAGCGUGCGCAGGCGGUUCGUUAAGACAGAUGUGAAAUCCCCGGGCUUAACCUGGGAACUGCAUUUGUGACUGGCGAGCUAGAGUAUGGCAGAGGGGGGUAGAAUUCCACGUGUAGCAGUGAAAUGCGUAGAGAUGUGGAGGAAUACCGAUGGCGAAGGCAGCCCCCUGGGCCAAUACUGACGCUCAUGCACGAAAGCGUGGGGAGCAAACAGGAUUAGAUACCCCGGUAGUCCCUGUCUCUUAUAC
rnacentral:rRNA from 1 species